GCAGUUGUGGCCUAAUGGUUAGAGUCUCGGACUUGUAACCCGAAGGUGAACCAUGGGUUCGAGUCUCAGGUCCGGCA